rnacentral:rRNA from 1 species
CAUCCUCCAAGGCUAAAUACUCCUGACUGACCGAUAGUGAACCAGUACCGUGAGGGAAAGGCGAAAAGAACCCCGGCGAGGGGAGUGAAAAAGAACCUGAAACCGUGUACGUACAAGCAGUGGGAGCACAGAGCAAUCUGUGUGACUGCGUACCUUUUGUAUAAUGGGUCAGCGACUUAUAUUCUGUAGCAAGGUUAACCGAAUAGGGGAGCCGAAGGGAAACCGAGUCUUAACUGGGCGUUAAGUUGCAGGGUAUAGACCCGAAACCCGGUGAUCUAGCCAUGGGCAGGUUGAAGGUUGGGUAACACUAACUGGAGGACCGAACCGACUAAUGUUGAAAAAUUAGCGGAUGACUUGUGGCU